rnacentral:rRNA from 1 species
GACGUAGGGCGCGAGCGUUGUCCGGAUUUAUUGGGCGUAAAGAGCGUGUAGGCGGCCAGGUAGGUCUGCUGUGAAAACUCGAGGCUUAACCUCGAGCUGUCGGCGGAAACCAUCUGGCUAGAGUCCGGAAGAGGAGAAUGGAAUUCCCGGUGUAGCGGUGAAAUGCGCAGAUAUCGAGAAGAACACCCGUGGCGAAGGCGGUUCUCUGGGACGGUACUGACGCUGAGACGCGAAAGCGUGGGGAGCGAACAGG